UGUGUCACACCUCCUCCGGACAACACG
rnacentral:misc_RNA from 1 species